UCAAAAUAUUAUUUUAUAAAAAUUAUGGAUAUGUUUCUCAUCUAAUAUAAAACGGUUGUGGUUAAUUUUUCUCUACGGAUACAUUCUAGAAGUUUCCAGCCCUAAAGUAAAGUAAAGUAAAUGAGGGGGUGGGAGGCGGAAAAAGAGGGACACAGCCACCGCGACGGUGAGAGGGAGAGGCCGAGAUGAUGGCCAAGUGAUACACAAUAAGCCAAUAAUCAAUUUUCUGCAUUUUGGAGUAUUUUUUCGUGACAAGAAGUUGAAGAAGGUUAGGUACUUAUUUGGUGUGCAGUUAUUUUCACCCCUUUUGAUGUGUUUUAUACUUCUAAGUUUGUUUUCCUUUACUUCAUGAUUUAAGUUGGGCUAUAUUUAUAAGUUUUUCCAUUUAUCUGUAAUAUAACUACAAAAUGUUUAUUUUUUUCUACAAAUUAACUUUUGUUCAUUUUUCUUACUGCACCUAAUUUUGUACUGUGUUGUGCUAUCUUUUUUAGCUACAUUUACAAAAUCUACACCACAUAGUUAUAACCACUUCUUAAUUUAAUAAUUUAUCUACCAAGGAAAGAGUCAAUGACAUUCUCAUUACUAAUCAUGACUUAUGGCUCAAGGAAAAAAAAAAAAAAAAAAAGUAUACCAGCAUCAAGAUAAGCCCCCUCGGAAAGCUAUGAAGCAUGUAUACUGACAUGUACACUAGACACGGCACUGACACCAGUAAUAAUUUAAGAAAAUGGUUUAAUUGAAUGUAAUCAAAGUGUCGGUGGUGUGUUGGUGUCUGACACCGACACGUGCUGGACAUCGAGACACGCCUUAUUUCAGAAGUGUCGGUGCAAUAGAGCAUAUGACAUAAUCUGGCAUCUAUCCCAUUUUAUUGAAUAAAAUAAACAAGUUCCAAUCAUGAAUGUCAUCUUCCAAUCUACCCUUUAACCCCAAAUUGCACUUUCAUUCUUCCCAAACAUAUUGCACUCUAUUGAUGUUGAAAAAGCUCAUGAAGAUAGCAAGUGAGGAUAAGUUGCAAAAUAGAAAAGCAAGUGAACUGAUGCAACUACCACAAAUGUAAUGUUCAAAGAGGUUUUCAAAAACCUCUUACAAGUAAAUAUUACUUUCACUUCCAAAUAAACUUGUUCUAUUAACAUUUAAUAUAAAAAUCAAGUAUACUUAUUUUGAAAUUCA